rnacentral:rRNA from 1 species
AUGGCCGGUCUCAGGAUGAAGCUCGUCGCCGUCGCCGCCAUGGCCGCCGCGCUCGUGGCCUCCGCGGCCGCCGCCGAGGCCCCGGCCCCGGCGCCCGCCUCCGACGCCGCGGCCGCCGUGCCCCUCGCCGCGGCCUCAUUCGCCGCCGCCGCCUUCGGAUACCUCUUCUGCUAA